AGAGUUUGAUCCUGGCUCAGGACGAACGCUGGCGGCACGCUUAACACAUGCAAGUCGAACGAGAGAAGAGAAGCUUGCUUUUCUGAUCUAGUGGCGGACGGGUGAGUAACACGUGAGCAAUCUGCCUUUCAGAGGGGGAUACCGAUUGGAAACGAUCGUUAAUACCGCAUAAUAUAAUUGAACCGCAUGAUUUGAUUAUCAAAGAUUUAUCGCUGAAAGAUGAGCUCGCGUCUGAUUAGCUAGUUGGUAAGGUAACGGCUUACCAAGGCGACGAUCAGUAGCCGGACUGAGAGGUUGAUCGGCCACAUUGGGACUGAGACACGGCCCAGACUCCUACGGGAGGCAGCAGUGGGGAAUAUUGCACAAUGGAGGAAACUCUGAUGCAGCGAUGCCGCGUGAGGGAAGAAGGUUUUAGGAUUGUAAACCUCUGUCUUCAGGGACGAAAAAAGACGGUACCUGAGGAGGAAGCUCCGGCUAACUACGUGCCAGCAGCCGCGGUAAUACGUAGGGAGCGAGCGUUGUCCGGAAUUACUGGGUGUAAAGGGAGCGUAGGCGGGAUCGCAAGUCAGAUGUGAAAACUAUGGGCUUAACCCAUAAACUGCAUUUGAAACUGUGGUUCUUGAGUGAAGUAGAGGUAAGCGGAAUUCCUAGUGUAGCGGUGAAAUGCGUAGAUAUUAGGAGGAACACCAGUGGCGAAGGCGGCUUACUGGACGAUAACUGACGCUGAGGCUCGAAAGCGUGGGGAGCAAACAGGAUUAGAUACCCUGGUAGUCCACGCCGUAAACGAUGAUUACUAGGUGUGGGGGGACUGACCCCUUCCGUGCCGCAGCAAACGCAAUAAGUAAUCCACCUGGGGAGUACGACCGCAAGGUUGAAACUCAAAGGAAUUGACGGGGGCCCGCACAAGCAGUGGAGUAUGUGGUUUAAUUCGACGCAACGCGAAGAACCUUACCAAGUCUUGACAUCCCUUGACAGACAUAGAAAUAUGUAUUCUCUUCGGAGCAAGGAGACAGGUGGUGCAUGGUUGUCGUCAGCUCGUGUCGUGAGAUGUUGGGUUAAGUCCCGCAACGAGCGCAACCCUUACUGUUAGUUGCUACGCAAGAGCACUCUAGCAGGACUGCCGUUGACAAAACGGAGGAAGGUGGGGAUGACGUCAAAUCAUCAUGCCCCUUAUGACCUGGGCCUCACACGUACUACAAUGGCUGUAAACAGAGGGAUGCAAAGCCGCGAGGUGGAGCGAACCCCUAAAAGCAGUCUUAGUUCGGAUUGUAGGCUGCAACCCGCCUACAUGAAGUCGGAAUUGCUAGUAAUCGCAGAUCAGCAUGCUGCGGUGAAUACGUUCCCGGGCCUUGUACACACCGCCCGUCACGCCAUGGGAGUCGGUAACACCCGAAGCCUGUAGUCUAACCGCAAGGAGGACGCAGUCGAAGGUGGGAUUGAUGACUGGGGUGAAGUCGUAACAAGGUAGCCGUAUCGGAAGGUGCGGCUG
rnacentral:rRNA from 1 species